UAGAUGUUACCUAACAUAUGUGUAAAGCGAUAUUAUAUAGCGAUGAUUAAUCUACACAAAACUAGAACAUAAAUGAUAGUAUAAUUAUAUUUAUAAAUAUGUCAGUAAAUAAUAGCUCAUUUAAUAAUGUCUUGCAUAUAUCAAAAUCACGUGUUAAGCUACUUUAUACAUUCAAUACUGAUAUGCAAAAUGUAGAGAUGUUACAUAACUUAUCAUAUGUUUAGUUACAUGCAUACAGAUAUAGUUAUGUAAAUAUAUGUUUUGUAAAUUGCAGAAACAACAAAGUUCGUUAAACUAAUAAAUUUUAGAAGAUUUUAUUCAAAGUUUUUGUAUGAUUAAAGUGCAGCUUGAAUCUCGAUGCUAGUUAGUAGGAAUCAUGUUACAACCAAGCAUCAUUAAACCUUUUGCCGUUCAGGAUAUGCUUUUAUUUUUUGCAAAGUGACAAUUACAUUAAAGGUUUUCAUACAAGAAGCUCUUAUGCAAGAGACACUAUAUACUUACCGUAAGAGACACCAAAUACUUACCGUAAGAGACACCAAAUACUUACCGUAAGAGACACCAAAUACUUACCUUAAGAGACACCAAAUAUGAGAUUAGUGUAAGUAGUCUAAUUAAAAGUUUAUAAAAAUCCUGAUGUCAAUUAAAUUCGAAAAGAAUUCUUUUUUAAAUAAGGUAUGAAUAUUUUUAAAAAUUAUUUUAAUGAUAUUGUUUUAAUAUUUUCAGCUAAUUUUUAUUUAUUUAUGGCGUCGUUUAAAUACGUCUAUAAUAUUUUUUCUACAAAUUAACAAUGAUAUGAAAUUACCAUAUAUACAUAAAAAAAUGAUACAAAUUUACUAUAUACAUAAAAAAAAAAUGUUUAAAAUACUUUAAUUCAACAUUUUUAUCUUUGGUUGUUUAAAAUCAAUAAAUUUUCUUUUUUUAUUGCUAAGAUUAAUUGUAGACAAUUUUUAGUUUAGUUGUUGAGAAUCUUUAGUUGAACUGUAAGGAACCUUCAAUUUAACUGUAAGGAAUCUUUAAUUUAACUGUUGGGUGUCUUUAGUUUAGCUGUUGUGUUAAGAUACUUUAAAAAUCAAGAACUUUGAUCUCUAAAGCAUUUUAAACUCCGAAUUCAUUGAUUUUUAGAUUUUAUGUUAUUUUUCUAUUCAAAAUCUCUUUAAAAUAAAAAUUCUUAGUAAAAGAAAUUUAUGAUUUUAUGUUCGCUUAUAAAACACAGGCGAUGCUUAUAACAAGAUAGGUAAUGUUAAUAACAGAUCGUAUUUAAAACAUUUCAUAUUGAUUUGGUCCUUUUUAUUUUUCUUCAAACAAUAAUUACUUUUUUUUUAACUAAAAAACAAACUAGUAGUAAAAUAAACGUUCGUUUUUAAUCUAUUUAAGAAAAUAUUUUACAAACCAUUGAUUUUAAAAUCCCAUUUCAGUAUAAAAAAAACAAAAUGCAGUUUCUUUUCGCGGUCAUAAAGCUUAUUAAUUAUAAAUAAUUGACAGUUAUGAAUCUGGAAAAAUGAAUUUAGUUUUUUACACCUAUGCUAUUUGAAGAUAAAGUUUUGUUUAUUUCAAUGUGACAAUAAAUCUUUUUAGGUCUGGAAAAUGUUAAAGGAUAUUUUUUCUCGAAAAUAUAUUUUUACUAGUAUUUACAUUUUUUAUUUUUUUAUGAGAAUUAUUUUUUUGAUGAGAAUUUGUAGUUUUUUUUUUAAAUUAUUCAUUAAUUUAUUAUUUAAAACUUUUUUCAUUACGAAUAUAUUUUUUUUUUAAUUAAAAAAACUCACAUUUUUAAAACUACUUUGUUUUUCGAUACUUGAGAUAUAAAUUUAAUUAAAUUCGAUGAUCUAAAAAAUAGCACUUAUUAUUUGACAAGUAAAAAAAAAUUUUAUGCAUUUAAUCAGGGCCAAAUUAAGACAUUAACCAAUUAAGCCAUGACUUAUGACCCGGGGCUGAGAUGGGGUCACUGGCUAAUAAAGUUUAACAAACAUAAACAAGAAAGUAUAGAAAACUGAAGCUCAACUUUUUGGUUUACAAUUAUUUGAUAGAAUACUUACAUUUACAAACAUAAAUUCGAUGGUUUGUAAAAAUAUAAAUUUUUAAAAGAAUCUCAAAUGAAAUCGUUGACAAACAUUCGAAUGAAAGUUUACGUUUGUUAUCAUAGUAAAAUAAUUUACCAAAUACAAACAAAGCUUCGGGAAGAAUAUUCUAAUAAUGUUAACGUCAAACCUUUUACAAGCAUAUCAAUGUAGAAAAACUUAAUGCAUGUCAAUGUAGAAAAACUAAUAACAAUAAUGAUAACUUAUUGUUCUAGAGGGCGUUCAUUUUCUCACAUAAAGAAAAUAAAAUGCGAAUAGAGAACCACAAUUUUUCAAGAAUGGUUAUGUUCACUUAGCUUGCUGUGUAUUGAAUCGUAUGCGAUGAGAGAAAAAAAAUUUAACAACAUCGUCUGUGAUUUUGCAAGACAAAAAGCAAAGGCUUUACAAACGAAUUGAAAUUAUGCAGUUAAUUUUUUAUAUACUUUUUUAUUAAAAUAACUGAUUGAUUUAAAAUAA